CAGACUAUCCACAUUAGGAUCCCAUAAAAAUCUGGAGCUGGUUGGCUGCAUGCAACGCGUAUGAGAGCUUAUUGUUCACAUUAAUAUAGUUGUCAAUCUGAGUUAACUUUUUUACAUCCAGUGAAUAUGAUGUGGCCAAGGCAGUGGGAGCGGGAUGAACGGACGCGCCAAGGAGCUGUGGAGAAGGCCCGGCAAAGUGGUUCUUCCUCUCUGGAAGGAUGUCAGCUCUCUGUGCCUGGCCAUCCCUGAGGACGCUUGAUGUCAUCUUGUCUACCUGAUCAUUACACUACCUGCUCUCCUCUACAAUGCCGGCCUCUCUCUACUCCGCCACUUGAAAUGCUUGGCUGGCCUCUUCUCUGAAACCAUCAUGAAAUUGUGUGCUAAAACACUGCAGACUGUUCCUCCUCUCUCCUUCCUCCAGCCAAGUGUGCAGGAGCCAGAAAAAGAUUCCUCCACUCGGACGACUGCUGCCCAGCCAAAGGGAAAACGCACAAAACAUCCUUCAGCUGCCUGCCACAGCUCACAUCUUUUAUUUGAGUUAUUCAUGUUGGUAGCGUAUGAGAUUUUAUAGCAAUAUUAUUAUAUUCAAUGGACACAUACCAAGUUGUUUAAAAAAGAGCUCCUUUUGUAGUGUCACCGUAGAAAAAGCGCAGGUGAAAAAAAUAAUGGCUAAAGUGCGUUUGGCUGCUAUGAAAUGUACUGCAAAAUAGACUGCAGUGCAAAAAAUAGACUGCAGUGUACAAUGUCAAUACUUCACUGUCACUGCAAAAAUGCACCAGAAACACUGAUAAAGCAAUUGCAGUAUUGCGUUCAUCAUCAUUCAUAUAAAUACUGACAUAUAAACAUUUUCCUCAACUUUAACACACUGCAAGAAACUGCUUUCAUCUCGUCAAGUGUCUCUUUCAUUUGGUUUAAGCUAUGUGUGAAUGAAUAACUUACAAAUGUAAACAAUUAUGUACUCUGUAUAUUCAAAGAUGAGGCUUUACAUAAACUUUGGAAUAAAUUUUGUUUCAUGUAAAGGAGGGAAGGAUUUUGUCUCCCAUCACUUCCAUUGAAAUUAGAAUCAGAAUUUGAUUUAUUGCCAAAUAACUGACACAAGGAAAACAGAAGAAAUAAUCACAGCAAGCAAAACCUGUUUCAAUGUUCAAAUGCACCUGACUUUUGUUUUAAGACAGACUUAAACAAUGUGGAAACUAUUCUUUAAUGUGUACAAUUUGUGGUCCUAUUUUUUAACACUUUUACCAGCGAUUAUAGUUACUCAGUAAGAUUAAGAAAUCAACUGCGUAGUCAGGGAACCUUUUCAAAUGUGUUUAAACAUAUGAGAUCAUUAAUGUUAGAUUGUCUGAACACGCUGCAGUGUCAGCAUGGAUCUGGCUCACGUAGAGUGGAGAGGUAACACACACAGUAAAGAGUGCCGUGCUCUGCUGCUGGACAUUAAGCAGUGGACGGGGAAGUGUCUUGCUCGAGAACAUCUCAGCAGCAAUUGCAGAGGGAGGGGCUCCUUUUAUUUUUAAAGAUUAUUUGUUGGGACAUUUUAGGCCUUUAUUUCCACAGGACAGAUGAAAACAUGAAAGGGGAAAGAGGGGGAAUGACACACAGCAAAGGGCCACAGGGGGGAACAAACCGGCAGCCACUGCGUCAAGGAGUAAACCUCCACGUAUGUGCACCUGCUUUACCAACUGAGCUAACCCGGCCACAUCGUAUUUCUUUUCCCAGGUGUUCCAAGCUCAUCCAGGGAUUGGAUCUGUUCACAGAUGUGCUUCUUUUAGAGAUGGCUGGCCCAGUUCCA